GGUUGAUCUUCAUUCUUCAACGCAUACAUGAAACCACAAUCCACAAAAUCAAUGAAUGGCUAAGGAAGUACAUUUAUUUAAACUAAUGAAAUUACAUGAGACACCUCCAAUUAAAAUGUAACAUCAAUCAGAAAACCUAGGACAACUUGUGCAAGCAAAUACUAGAAUACCUAGAAACGUCAUUGAAUAUUAUUAGAACUAGAUUCCCCACUAGUUUUCUGACUGUAAUUACAUAAACCGGAUAUAAGAAAAGAGAAGGAACUUUCUGAAUCAUCAAAUGGAGGUCGAGGGAACUCAUGAAACCCACCAAAAUUACAAGUAUCGAAGUUCAAUGGCGAGAAAUAGCUAGCAGGAUCAUCAACACCCCCCUUCACAUCCAUUACAUUUUGAGCCCCAGUUCCAUUUGCACCACCUGAGCCAAAGCUAUAAUUUAUACUUCCAACCUUGUUUGCUACUUCAUUUUCAUCCCCUUUAUCAGAUGGCCCGGCUGGUCCUUUUGUUUCAUCAGGAGGAAUAGCAGGCGUAUGACCCUGGAAGAGAGCAAUAUGCCCAAAAAGCUUGUCUUUCCUUGAAAAGGUUGUACCGCACGAACACAGCCAUUUAUCCUUGCCACAAUGCUUCUCAUGAGUUUUGAGGUCUGCAAUAACUGAGAAUUUCUUCGUGUUGCAUCUGCUGCAAGUGUAGCUCUUGUCACAGUGAGUUCUCUUAUAAUGGUUUUUGACACACAAAAUAGUCUUCAAAGGCUGAAACUUUUUGUGAUCCUUGUUCCGCUUACAACCAGUAAAUGGGCAUGAAUACCUCUUAAUGAGCACUGGUUCAGAGCUGGCUUCUUUGUUGGGUUUUGCAAGUGCAGCAGGAGUUUUGUACUCAUCACCAUGACCUCUCAUAUGCAUACGUAAAUUUGCAUCUCUCUUGAACCCUUUCCCACAUAUUGUACAGAAAUGAGUAUGUGGAGCAAGGAUUUCUUCUUUUUCUAGUUGUAAGAUCUCAUAGGAACCAGGCGGAAGGUUCUCUCCUUCCUCAGCAUCUUCUUCAUCUUUCAUUUCAUGUUCUUCAAUAGAGUAGUUCUGCUCAGUCCCACAAUUACCUGUAACAUCCAUCUGGUUGGACUGAUCAGAAACUUUACUUCCACUACUAUGUUGUUGCUGUACACUAUUAUUCAUGCCUGUCCCAGAGGGAAAAAGAAUCCCCCCAAGCUGUCCAACAGGAGUAGUGGUUGCAGAAAGUGUAUGCUUCACAGAUGGAAGAAGACUACCUGCAGUAGAGAUCAAUUGUACGAUAAUUGAAGUGAGAUCAGCAGUUACAAGCUGCUGUUGCUGAGUUACCAGUUCCUCUGGCCGCCCCAAAACCUGACCCCUCCGGCCAACAAUCAAAUGCACCAAAUCUUGUAAUUGAUGGAUUUUUUGCUCAAGAAAAGAGAGAUUGUUGAGCAUGGCCCUUGGAUCCCAAUCUGGGAUUUUGUUGGUUUGAAGUGUCUCAUUAAUUUGACUAUUUUCUUGAUCUGCCAUUUUGAUAUGAUCAUUGGGGUUGGAAGGAAGUAAGGAUUGGGUUUCAGAUUGUGGGUUAAAUUCUUGGAAAGAUGAAUUAGUCCUAAUGCCAAAGAUAGAGGUAUCUUCCCACUUCUGCUCAUAUUGCUGUGAAUUGAAAUUGAAAUUGAUAAAAGAUGGUUUCUCGGUGGAAAUGUUUUUUGGUAAUUCAUUACCAGAAGAUGAAGAUUUUGCCCAUGUUUCUUGGCACAGCCUGUCUUUUUUAUCCAUUAUCAAGUCCUUUCUCAGUAUCAAGUCUCAAGGCUAAUCAAACCUGUAAUUUUAACAGAAAUUAGAAAUUUAAAAUUGGCAGAAACAUUCUGAAGUCCAGAAGACAAGUAAUCAACCCAAAUCUAAAUUAACCAACAAGUAAUUCCCAUUUUUAUGGCCAAAACAACAAUUUGUUUCA
rnacentral:misc_RNA from 1 species